UACGUAGGGUGCAAGCGUUAAUCGGAAUUACUGGGCGUAAAGCGUGCGCAGGCGGUUAUGUAAGACAGGUGUGAAAUCCCCGGGCUUAACCUGGGAACUGCAUUUGUGACUGCAUAGCUAGAGUACGGUAGAGGGGGAUGGAAUUCCGCGUGUAGCAGUGAAAUGCGUAGAUAUGCGGAGGAACACCGAUGGCGAAGGCAAUCCCCUGGACCUGUACUGACGCUCAUGCGCGAAAGGCGUGGGAGCAAACAGG
rnacentral:rRNA from 1 species